rnacentral:rRNA from 1 species
UACGUAGGGGGCUAGCGUUGUCCGGAAUCAUUGGGCGUAAAGCGCGUGUAGGCGGUCCGGUAAGUCCGCUGUGAAAGUCGGGGGGCUCAACCCUCGGAUGCCGGUGGAUACUGUCGGGCUUGAGUACGGAAGAGGCGAGUGGAAUUCCUGGUGUAGCGGUGAAAUGCGCAGAUAUCAGGAGGAACACCAAUUGCGAAGGCAGCUCGCUGGG